rnacentral:rRNA from 1 species
AUUGAACGCUGGCGGCAUGCUUUACACAUGCAAGUCGGACGAGUGGCGAACGGGUGAGUAACGCAUCGGAACGUACCGAGUAAUGGGGGAUAACUGGCCGAAAGGACAGCAAAUCCCGCAUAGUACUCGAGCGGCCGAUGUCUGAUUAGCUGGUUGGCGGGGUAAAGGCCCACCAAGGAGACGAUCAGUAGCGGGUCUGAGAGGAUGAUCCGCCACACUGGGACUGAGACACGGCCCAGACGCCUCCGGGAGGCAGCAGUGGGGAAUCUGUGAAAAUGGGCGCAAGCCUGAUCCAGCCAUGCCGCGUGUGUGAAGAAGGCCUUCGGGUUGUAAAGGACUUGUGUCAGAGAAGCGGUACCUGAAGAAUACGCACCGGCUCACUACGUGCCAGCAGCCGCGGUAAUUC